GACAGAGGGGUGCAAACGUUGUUCGGAAUUACUGGGCGUAAAGCGCGUGUAGGCGGCUAUGUGUGUCGGGCGUGAAAUCCCAUGGCUCAACCAUGGAAGUGCACCCGAAACUGCAUAGCUAGAGUCCUGGAGAGGAAGGUGGAAUGCUUGGUGUAGAGGUGAAAUUCGUAGAUAUCAAGCGGAACACCGGUGGCGAAGGCGACUCACUGGACAUGUAUUGAACGCUGAGGUGGCGAAAGCGUGGGGAGCAAACAGG
rnacentral:rRNA from 1 species